GGGACACGUGGUAUCCUGUCUGAAUAUGGGGGGACCAUCCUCCAAGGCUAAAUACUCCUGACUGACCGAUAGUGAACCAGUACCGUGAGGGAAAGGCGAAAAGAACCCCGGCGAGGGGAGUGAAAAAGAACCUGAAACCGUGUACGUACAAGCAGUGGGAGCACCUUCGGGUGUGACUGCGUACCUUUUGUAUAAUGGGUCAGCGACUUAUAUUCUGUAGCAAGGUUAACCGUAUAGGGGAGCCGCAGGGAAACCGAGUCUUAACUGGGCGUUAAGUUGCAGGGUAUAGACCCGAAACCCGGUGAUCUAGCCAUGGGCAGGUUGAAGGUUGGGUAACACUAACUGGAGGACCGAACCGACUAAUGUUGAAAAAUUAGCGGAUGACUUGUGGCUGGGGGUGAAAGGCCAAUCAAACCGGGAGAUAGCUGGUUCUCCCCGAAAGCUAUUUAGGUAGCGCCUCGUGAAUUCAUCUUCGGGGGUAGAGCACUGUUUCGGCUAGGGGGUCAUCCCGACUUACCAACCCGAUGCAAACUACGAAUACCGAAGAAUGUUAUCACGGGAGACACACGGCGGGUGCUAACGUCCGUCGUGAAGAGGGAAACAACCCAGACCGCCAGCUAAGGUCCCAAAGUCAUGGUUAAGUGGGAAACGAUGUGGGAAGGCACAGACAGCCAGGAUGUUGGCUUAGAAGCAGCCAUCAUUUAAAGAAAGCGUAAUAGCUCACUGGUCGAGUCGGCCUGCGCGGAAGAUGUAACGGGGCUAAACCAUGCACCGAAGCUGCGGCAGCGACACUAUGUGUUGUUGGGUAGGGGAGCGUUCUGUAAGCCUGCGAAGGUGACCUGUGAGGGUUGCUGGAGGUAUCAGAAGUGCGAAUGCUGACAUAAGUAACGAUAAAGCGGGUGAAAAGCCCGCUCGCCGGAAGACCAAGGGUUCCUGUCCAACGUUAAUCGGGGCAGGGUGAGUCGACCCCUAAGGCGAGGCCGAAAGGCGUAGUCGAUGGGAAACAGGUUAAUAUUCCUGUACUUGGUGUUACUGCGAAGGGGGGACGGAGAAGGCUAUGUUAGCCGGGCGACGGUUGUCCCG
rnacentral:rRNA from 2 species